ensembl:lncRNA
GUUGGAGACACCAGUCCAAGCCUCUCGGGAAGGCACCUACAUGUUUCCAUUCUUUAAAAAAAAAAAUCACAUCCACAAAUGAGCCUGAGAGGACCUGGCCCAUUCCAUGUGGCCAUAUAUUUGACCUUGACCAUUAGCAGCAAUGACAUGGUGGGAAAAGAGGGCAGGGCUAUGCAACACUGAGUAGCUGGCCCAGCCNNNNNNNNNNNNNNNNNNNNNNNNNNNNNNNNNNNNNNNNNNNNNNNNNNNNNNNNNNNNNNNNNNNNNNNNNNNNNNNNNNNNNNNNNNNNNNNNNNNCCAGUGCAGGGACAACCCUUCUUGGAGAGCCUGGCCCAAGGGUCACAGUUGACUGCUCGGCUCCACUCUGCUCCCAGGGAAAACCCAACUGAAGUGACUAGCAUAACCUUCCUUGCUUAUCCCGGAGCACAGACAAGAAAGGGCAGAGUCCGCUCUGGGGCUUCUGCUUUAAUGGUCUCCCUUCCCCUAAGCCGGGCAGUCAAAGGAGCUGGCGACAGUGGAGGGAAGAUACUAGGCGGGCCUCCCAUAGCUGGCAGACCGUGCAGCUCCUACAUAUGUCGCAGGCUGGGAAUUCAAGGUCCAGGCUGCAGCAGGAAGAGAGCUCUACAGGGGCAAGGGGUGGGGAGGUAAGAGGAAGAGAAAGAGAACAGCGGGGUGGGGAGUCAGUAUGACCUUGCAACCUCCGCUUCUGCUGUCUACAAACCUACGACCAAGAAGAGGCACGGUCUGAAAGGACUGAGGGGCUCUCAACUCCUGCAGAUUUCUGCCACCAAACAGCAGCAGGAUUGAAAUGCAGCAGGAAGGGGUCCCUCUGUCACCCUGUCCCCAGCAUCACAGACACUGCUGAAUGGUCCUGGAAGGUUGACACAGCCCGAGAACAGUCUCACCCCACGGCCACAUGACAGCCUGCCUGCUUCCUCACCUCAGACCUGUACCGCCCUCGAAUAUUUUCUUCUUCAUCAUCACUGAUUUCCUCCCCCAUCCUCAAUCUCCUCCUAAAAUUUCAGCCACACCUGUCAUCAAAAACUUGUUGGGAGUCUCAGUUUUUUUUCUGUUUCUUCUCAAAUCUCAACCAGUACUCCGAGAGUUGAUCCUGGUUCUGAUAAGAGAUUCUCCCCUCAUCAUCAAACAUCUUCUCUCUUCAAGUCCUCAUCGUGCGCCUAGUUCCUUCCUGGAAAGAAACGCUUCCGACUCUCCUGGGUGUAAACACUCACGCUUCCGAAGGACUUUUGCCAGCUCUCUGAUGGGGAGCCUGAAGCCUGACAUAUUCAGCACCUGCCUCCCCGCAGGGAGGACAAGGAAAACAAAGGUCGCUGUGGCUCAGGAGUCCAAGGCCACAUCAAAGGGCGACAGCCGGGAGAGCCAGAGCCGAUAGGCGCCAGCGCAGCCUUCCCAGGGCGCUUCUCACCUUCAAGGACAGAGGCAGCGCCUCCCACCUCUUCUCUCCAGCUGGCAAUCUGAGAACCUAAACAAAUUAAACCAACACUUGCUUUUGAAACUACAGCAGAUCUCUGCUUCCAGAAGCGUGGCUGACUAAGAGGCUUUCUAAAUCCUGAGACUACAGAAAUCCCCUCCUCAGCCCUGAGGCCAUCUGGUUCAGGGCAUGAAGGGAGGGAGAGGGAGCCUUCAAAAUUCUAGCAUCUCAGCUACUGCGUGUGUGUGUGAGUGCAUGCAUGCCCGCGUGUGUGCAUCUCUCUCCCCCCAGGUGAGCUGCGGAGUCUCACCUGGGCCCAGAUGGGAUGUUGGGAGGAAGAGGACCACACCUCAGGGCUUAAGGUGGGUGACAGGGCUGGGAGUCCACAGGGCAAAGGAAAAAAAAAAAAAAUCAAAAGUUGUUGGUUUCCAAGGUAAAUAGCAACAUUGUCCAAAAUAUCCUCAUUCCUAGUAACUAACUUUCCUCUCCAGGUUGCUUUCAAGUUCCAGGUGACAAAUCUCCUCACCACUCAGACCACAAAAGUGCAGAUCAGGGAAGGGAUCUUAACUCAGAGCUCACUGAGUUAAGCCCUGUCCCCAGAACGACCUCUCCCACUAGACUCCAUUUCAAGACCCUUUCCACAGGAAGGAACUGAUGGCCUCCCAGAGCCAGCAACAUUCAACUUAGCCUUGCUAUCCUUGAGGGAAGGACCCUGGAAGCAUCAGUCACAAGAACAAGCAAAGGAGGGUUCUGACCAAGAACUGGUUCGUGUCACAUGUCCAAAAAUGACGCAGGGCAAAGCUGGCGGUAAACGCAGGAGGAUUGGCCAAGUGGACAGCCAGUUGGAGAGCCCCCAAAUCAGAAGCAAGAAUAAAGGUAGAAGGGGAAAUACCCUGACUGAAAAGGAAAAAGAGGCUUUUUCUUUGGGAUAAGCCCCCAUGUGUGAAAGCAAAGAGCUAUGACUUUGGGGAUACCAAUCCAUCUGCUUCUGAAAAGGGAGACUCAACCAAGAGACUUUAAGGGCCCAGAAACACAAACCUGCUCUUUGUUUCUCAAGAGCAGGUGAGAGCCCCUGUGGACAAGAUCUUCGGCGCCAAGGCCUGCUACUCUCUACUCCCAGCUGCUCAACUCAGAGGGUCUCAGAAACCUUCGGGCACUUGGCAGAGCGUGGCAAACCAGACUCCCCUCAGACUCUGGGCGUGUCCCAAACUCUGCCCACCCAAGGACUCACCUACCACCAGAGUCACACACAAGACCCCUCCCUGGAACUCAUUCAUCUAACGGAAAAGGACACCCACCGCCUCCAUGUCCAAUACUGCUCAGAACUGAAACUUGGGGAUGGGGGGGCUGAUGGGUUUGCGGGGCUCUGAACUGGCUGGCCCUGGGUCUCUGAAGCUUCUCUUGCUCUCUGGUUAAUUGAUGGCCUGGGAUGAUCCCAGCCUGAAUCCAUCCUCUGCAAGAGCUGACUGUCUCCCACGGCCUAGAGGAGAUCUUGUUUGGGAUGGACACUCAGACUGGGCACCUGCCAAGGAGGGCUUUCUCUCCUCUCUAGCGGAAGGGUGGCCAACGUACCACCAGUCACAGUGAACUAAACAGAGACACUGAAGUUCA